AGGGUUUGAUUCUGGCUCAGAACGUACGCUGGCGGCACGCCUAACACAUGCAAGUCGAACGAAGUAGCAAUACUUAGUGGCAGACGGGUGAGUAACAUGUGGGUAUCUGCCCUUUGGCCUGGAAUAGCACGAGGAAACUUGUGCUAAUACCGGAUAAGUCUUUACGGAGAAAGCUUUAUGCACCAUUGGAUGAGCCCGCACUUGAUUAGUUUGUUGGUAGGGUAAUGGCCUACCAAGACUGUGAUCAAUAGCUGAUUUGAGAGGAUGAUCAGCCACAUUGGGACUGAGACACGGCCCAAACUCCUACGGGAGGCAGCAGUGGGGAAUCUUGCACAAUGGAGGAAACUCUGAUGCAGCGAUGCCGCGUGAGUGAAGAAGGCCCUUGGGUUGUAAAGCUCUUUCGUCGGGGAAGAAAAUGACUGUACCCGAAUAAGAAGGUCCGGCUAACUUCGUGCCAGCAGCCGCGGUAAUUCA
rnacentral:rRNA from 1 species